AUUCUUUACUCUAGCUGUAUUUUUUAAUUUAACUAUAGUUUAUGGACGGCUGAACGUGUUCUGAUUUCUUUCUCUUAUGAUGGGGGUAUCUGAAGAUUAUUUUUCUUUUGUUUUCAAUCCCUUUGCCAUGGUUCCAGCAAAGGUCUGUGGCUGCAUGAAAUGGCUUUGAAUCCUCCUAUGAACAUUGAUGGCCGUUUACCUCUUUUCUUGGUUCAUUGUUUCCAUGGGGGAUAUUUUUGCUUAAGUGGAGGAAACGGAAAACAGCAUUAAGACAGCCUGUUCUGUUCCUCAAUAAGCAUUGCAAUUCACAUAGAAGGCUUAGAGAAAGACUUGGAAAUUUGGGUAGAAAUCGAAGUUGAAAGUUUUGCCAAAUCUGAAGCUGAUAGAUAUAUCAUCAGAAGUCAGAAAAUCAAGCUUGCAUCAUGCCUUUAUUUCAACUAUGUGGAAUAUCCUCUUUGCGUUAGAGGUACGGCAUUGGAUUCUUAAUUUGAUUGAAGCUGGUAACUGAAGCAGGAUUUGGGGGCCCUAAGGGGAAGUGGGGUUUGAUUGGUACAAUGGAUAUUAAGGCCGAUUUAUGAACUCUGGGGUUUUUAAUUGUUUCGUAAGAUGACCACCUGACCUUUUACUAUUAUUAUAUCAUAUUAAUUAUUUUUUGAAAAAUUACUUAAGACAUGUUUGAAUUAUAUAAAAAAUUUCUAUGGUGAGCUUUUGUCCUGUCA